CCAAGCGGGCGCGAAGCUGACUGACCACCUAAGAAGUUGUUCCAGAUGUAAUCAGCAACUUGCCUUGCAUCAUCAGCUGAAGUGAGAGAGUAACUUCCGGCGGCCCCUCCAAUCGAGAGGAGGACUUUUAUGUUUUUUGAUUGGCAGGUUCUGAUGUCGGCACUCAGCCCGGUGCAAGUACCACUAGCGGGGUCGCAGUGGCCGGCGAGGUUUAGGACAGGGGUUUGGUUGUUUCCGAAAGUAGUGAGGAAAGCUAUGUUAACAAACUGGUAGUUGCCUGAGUUGCAAGCAUCUGCUAGGGUUCCUUCGUUUCCGUUUUGGCCCCAAUAGACCGCAAUUCCGGCGGCUUGGGAGGACUUGCAUGAAGAAAUGAGGAUCAAGAGGGACAGCGUUAGGGCUAGGGUUUGUGUUUUGGAUGCCAUUUUUAUAUGUUUUUUUGGGUUGUUGUUCAAAGUGCUUGGGAGUGGACAUGUACUUAUAGGUGCAGGGGACUUAUCGGUUAAGGUUUAGGGGAAGAAAAGUAUGACAGACGUGUUCUGCAGGUAAGAGUCUUCUGCUUGCAACCGCGUCAAUCACGUUAGGGCCUGUUUAUUUAGUCCAAGUUUCACUUUACAACUUAGAACACGUCAAUUAAAUUAGGUCGGGUUGAAAAUGCAUUUUCCAAAACCACUUUCACACAUAAGCGCUUCUUAUAUUUUCAUAAAAAUGCAAGUGGUUUUAUAAAAAAAAAAACUUGAGGUGUUUGGCGUGUGUUUUUUCAGAAAGCACUUAAAAUAUUUUUUCAACCUAAAAUCACUGAAUUUUUUAUGAUUUCAAAGUUCUUUUAAUUGUUUUGAAGGCACUUCCAACUGAUAUUUUAUAAAAAAUUACUUCUAGAGAGAAUUAUAGCAUGCUAAUUGAGAGAUUCCGAAACUAAAAAGCCAUCAAAUUUGCCAAAAAAAAAAUCUGAUGAGACAAUACGUGGAGAAUCAACACAGCUGUAUCAUCACCAAAAAUUUUCAGUGUGCAGAAAUACAGUCCGGUACAAAGUGUUAUAAUAAAAUUGGUUGAUUUUUUUUUUUAAGUUUCCAACUAAUUAUAUUAUUACACUUGAUGUACCGAUCCGUAUUUCUGAAAAAUCUCUCCUUACCAUCACAUCACAUGAAUGUUUUGGAAAGUUCGUAGAUAGAAACCAAAAUCUCUCCUUAUCAUCACAUCACAUCACAUGAACGUUUGGGAAGCUCGUCGAUAGAAACCAAAUGGAAUAUGCUUUUAGCUGAGGAUGGCCAUUGGCCAGGGACUUCGGUCUAAUCACGAUGCUUUAAUUUCGCAGUCGGAAAAAAACUUUCGAAUAAAAUUUAGGGUAUAUUUAGGAAGUGUUUUUAAAUGAUUGAAAACAUUUUUAGAAAUAUUUUUUUUUAAAAACGUUUCCAGUCAUUUAAAAAAACUUCUUAAACGAGUUUAAUUACUUGUGUAUGGGGCAACAUUUAGCUAGUAAUGGUUCUCAUGAAUUGGAUUGUGGUGAUGUGAAAAUGGGUUUGGGUUAGUUUAGUUUAGAGUUUAUAUUUACUAUCCGGUGCAUGCAAAUGGAAUGUCAAAUCUUUCAGAGAAAUUUUGAUAGAACUGCCACUUAGGGCAACACAUAUUAAACAAACAAAUGUAGGGUUGGAGAAGACUAAAAUACAUGAAUUCUCGUGUUUUCAUAAAUGUGAUCUAAAAAUAAUAUAGCAUGUGCCCUGAGAACAACGUGAUCAGUACCUAAUCGAAGUUCUCUAGUGUGGAAAGAUUCAAGAGGGGUGUGACGCUUCCGACAAAUAAAAAAUCACACAUUUUCGAAUUCGGAAAUGUAUAGAACAGAGCAGAUAUCACUAGAUGAAUGUUAACUGUUUUACAGAAAAUUUAUAAGACAAUUAGAGUUAAACAACAGAAGCUUGCACUUUAAAUGGUUAUGUCCAGCUGCUUUUGGUAUGUAUAUGCUUUUUCCAUGUCUCGAUGUAGUUCCAGUUCACUGCUCAUCAUCCUGGAACAAUGCUUUCGAAACAGAGCCGCACGGCUGGCUACUGUAUUCUCGGUAAUCUUCAUCGUCAUCACAGCUGCGUUGCGAGCAUGAACGUUUGAUUCCUGUCAUUGGGGUUUCACAGACUCUGUCAUCGCAUGAACCUCUAUGAUCCUUCCUUUUAAACAGCUUUCGAAGCGGAUUUGACUUUGGUUUCAAUGGUUUCAGCCGUUUGGGGGCCCAAACUCUCUGCAGAUCGGGCAUCCAUCUUGUGGAUGAAGCGAAUCUCCAAGCCCUCUCUCUCCUCUCUUGAGCUUCAAGUAACUUGCGAGCAUGGUCGUCCUAUUGUUUGAUCUCUUCGACGCUUGGUCUUCCAAUAUCAGUUUUCAGCGGACGAAGAGACUCACCUUCUGCUUGUAAUGAGUCCCAGAUUCUAUAACUUCCAUCCACUUCGACACUCUUCGGUUUUUCUUUACAGGAUCGAUUGCUAUCCUCACUGUUGAGUAAACUAUUAGGGAGUUCUUCCUCAUCAGCAAACAGUAACAAAUCCAUUUUCGUAUAGAUUUUGUGAACCACAUCUUCAAGUGUCUCACAGUACCUGAAAAAUGUCCAAAUUCAGGCUCUUGACAAUUUGACAAAGCAUUUCAUUGAAAAGGUUCAAUCCUUACUACCAUUAUAAUUUAUAAUGUGUUGUAUGGUUUACCUCGUAAUGGUGCUAAGUUAUUUCUACAGUUUUGGGGCAUUUUUUUUGCAGUUUCGGUGCAAUUUUGAUGCAGUUCUUUUUUUUUGCAAUUUUGCUGCAUUGUUGUUGCUGUUUUUGCUGCAUGUUCAUUGAUUAAUAAAAAGGUCGUACCCAGUGCACAAGGCUCCCUUGAUUAAUAUAUGAGAAAAAUAAGACUGUCAUAUGCUUAAAUAGGUGUAUAUUUUAAAUUAUACAUUUUUUUUUCAAAAAUCGAACCGAAACUGUUUGAAACCGUACCGCACCAAACCAAACGGUUUGGUUUCAUUUCAGUUUUGGCUUCAAAACUGCACCGAACCGCACCGCAAAAAAAUUUGGUUUCGGUUGCGGUUUCACUCGAAACCGCACCGAAGCGCACCGCGCCCACCCCUACAGGGGACUUGUCGAUGAAGGUUUAGGGGAAGAGAAGUAUGACAGACGUGUCUUGCGGGUACAAAAUGGGUGCCAGUCUUCUGCAUGCAUGGAACCGCGUGAACCAAGUUAGGGCCUGUUUAGUCCAAGUUUCACUUGACAACUUAGAAAUUUGUCAAUUAAGUUAGGUCGUGUUGGAAAUUCUUUUUUCAAAAACCACUCAUAAGUGCUUUUAAUAUUUUUCGUAAGAAUGCAAGCGUUUUUAGAAAACACACUCAAGGUGCUUAGCGUGUGCUUUUUUUUAGAAAGCACUUUUAAGUGUUUUUUCAACCUAAAAACACUUGUUUUAAAGACACUUCCAACAAACACAUAAUUAAUGGAAAAUUACUUCCAGAGAGAAAUAUAGCAUGCUAUUUGAGAGAUUCCAAAACUAAAAGCUAAAUAGUUAUUAAGCGUGACCUUAACCAAGGUGAAAUAAAAUAUCAAAUUUGACAAACAAUCUGAUGAACGUCAUAGCUAUAUGUAUAGUCAGUAGAUGAGAUAAUCAUGAAACAAAACGUGGAGAAUCAACACAGCCUUAUCAUGGCCAAAAUUUGUCUGUGUGCCAGAACCACGGCCUAGUACACUAAAAGUGUCAUAAUAGAAUUGGUUGGAAAUUCAUUCGGUUACAACUGACUCUGAAGUCUUUAUUUCUGCACAACCACAUAGUGAGAUGUUUGCUUACCAUGCAACCAUGAUGUCCAAUACUCUUGGUACCUCAAUCGUUGUCUUUACCAAAACUGGUUUUAUGGCUAUUCUAUUGAGCCAUUACCGACCUACCGGGAUCAUAUUUGCCUUCACGAAUGAGUGAGUUUUCAAUUUACCUGUCACAAAGGCAUUUAGUUAAAAUUUGUAACUGUAUCAGUCAAAAUAUGCUGUGAAAGUUCUAUUCAUUAGCAAGUACUUUGAUUGCCAUGCAGUAAGAGCAUACAACGGAGAUUGGCUUUGUAUCAAGGCGUAUGUCCAAUAUAUACAUGGAGUUCACAGAAGAUUCUGAAACAAGCUUUAGCAAUGCCUUGACUGUGCUGAAGGUGAUGUUUUGCUGCAGAUUUCCUAAAUUUAUGGCGACGUAUGCUAUUCAACCAUGCCAGCACUGAUGGUUCAUUUUCUGUUGUUCUGUUUGCAGGAGCAAGGAUUGGUAAAGGCAGGAGAAGAGGUCGCACUCGUUCAAAGUGGCAGGCAACCCAUUUGGCGGCUCCAAUCCACUCACAAAAUUCAAGUGCGCAAAAUUUAGGUGCAACGGAGAUGGAAUAAUCGCCCUCGUAACAUAGAUUUCUUCGUCUACACUACAAAAGUUUCAAAUGAUAGCUUUUGUGUUGUACUUCCAGCGGAAUUGUCGUGAUACUUUCUUCCUUUGGUUGUUUUUUUUCUUCUGUUGCACACUUUUGUGAUCCUAUCAAUGUGCUUCUUUUUGUUUCCGAUUUCCCCCUAGUUAAUUUUGGCGUAUGUUUUAGAACUGUAAGUUGUUAAAGUAUAAAUUUGGCAGUUUGAAUGCAAACUGUCUAAAUUUUUUUAAUAGUUCGAUUGAGGAAACAGAUCGUCACACUCACAUUCUAAUAUCCGCCGCUUACCGUUUGUCGUGUGGCCGUUUAACACUGACUAAGGUAGAUCUCACAUCAGAUCAGCACGGGACUAGGUUCCGUGCUCUUGUGAAAGUUAUUCUACGUACGACGUGAUUCUACACAUGGUUUGUGGUUUGGGCUUGAACCGGUCUCUACGAAAUGAGGCAGAUUUUUUGUUUAUUAACAAAGGUCAAAAGUCAAACAAAAAUUGUUGAUACAGACUAUCUUAAACAAAAUUAAACAACAUUCGCUUGAAUAAUUAUCAAAUUGACAAUGUCUCAUAGGUGAUGCUGUCCAUACACUCUUUUUAUUUUUCACUCACUCCUCCCAAUUUUUAACCGUCAGAUCGAAUAAAUUAAAGAUGAUCAAAAGACAAAAAUUAACUGAAGAUAUGUGAAAGAAAAAACAAAAUGUAUAUAUAGCAUCACCUAUCUUAUUAGGAUAAUGACAUCCGAUUUAUUUGAUAUAAUCUUUUAGGGAAACCAAAACGUUGAGUUACAAAAGUCAAACUCUUCCGAUGAUGGAAUAACUAUAUCCAUUUUUAUCAUCACAAAACUCGGACCCUAACAUCACACCACCAUACUUCGACGACUUCUUUAUCACCAGUAGAAUUUCCGAAUUCAGCAAAGCAGCCACAAUAUACCCACUUCUGGCCACCUCAGGAGUGGCCGGCAACCCCAAAAACAUCUUCCCUUUCUAAUACAUUAAUGAUGUCAGUUGGCGUCUUAACAAGAUGGGAGACUUUGGAGUCGCUUUAUUGGGAUCUCCCGAGUACUCGGUACUCUAUGUAUUUUAACCGUUAAAUCUUUGUUUAAAAAUAUAAAAAUCAAAUUCUAACAGUUAAAAUAUUCAAAAUAUCCAUAGUACCGCUCGAAAUUUUUUGAGACAUUAAAUGCAAUCCCUCCAAGAAAUCAUCUCAAAUUUUUUUGAGACAUUAAAUGCGAUCUCUCCAAGAAAUUAUUAGAUUAUACCGUAGUACCAUCUCAGCCGUGGUAGUUUCAUCCAAAGGCUAGCCUUUACAAUAUGAGCUAGCCAGCCUUCAUGCACACAGUGCCUGCCAAUCAUGUAAAACCAUUGACAAUGAUACAUGACAAUUUAUUUGGACCUAUAACUUCAUUUCAUAACUACAUCAGAUAACCGUUUAUGUGCAACUAUAUUUUAUUCAAUUUCAAAAAUUAGCAUAUGCAAUGACAUGUUUUAUCGUAAAAAGUACAAGAAAUUUUCAACGUAUCACAAAUACAAAGUGUUAUACCACAUGUCAUUAUAUAAAGAGAAAUUUUUUAUAUUUUAAGUCUGUCUCCACUUAUAUAAUAUGUGUUGUACCAUCCGAAUUCCGGAUCAGUAAAAGAUCUCUCCAAAAAUACAUAUGCAUGUUUUAUUCAAAAGGUUAGGAAUGAUGCGUCAUCAUCCCUAACGCACUUUAUUAUAAGUAGUAUCAUCCAUUGAGGCAGAGAAGUUAAUUAGAUGCUGUCCUUAAUGGAUGCACUAUAGCCGUUGACAAUGUCAUACUGCCUGCCCCAGAGCAUAAUUCCUCCGUACUUGGGCGAUUUCUUAAUCGUUGGAAGAACUUGUGACUUGAGAGCGUCAGCAGGAAUAAAUCCGCCGCCCGGAGCGGCCUCAGGAGCUGCCGGUAUACCCAAGAACACCUGGGUGGCCGGAACCGAGGCCCAUUGGUUCCAACUGCUCAAAAGAGCGUCGGCAUUACCGUCUGCAUACUGGCAUGGGGGGUUGUUGUAGAACUGAACCCAAACGUAGUCAAAUAAACCGGUUUGGAUAGCGCCGUCUAGGUGAGCAUCCGGGAUCGGACAUUGUGGAGCUGCGGCUAAAUAGACCGUUUUUGCCUGUCCGUUGUGUCCGUUGAGUGACCUGGCGAGCUCAUCAUAGAACUGCGCACCACCCGCCUCAAUGUCGAAAUCAACGCCGUCCAAAACCGCGUCCCCAAGCGGGCGCGAAGCGGACUGACCACCUAAGAAGUUGUUCCAGAUGUAAUCAGCAACUUGCCUUGCAUCAUCAGCUGAAGUGAGAGAGUAACUUCCGGCGGCCCCUCCAAUCGAGAGGAGGACUUUUAUGUUUUUUGAUUGGCAGGUUCUGAUGUCGGCACUCAGCCCCGUGCAAGUACCACUAGAGGGGUCGCAGUGGCCGGCGAGGUUUAGGACAGGGGUUUGGUUGUUUCCGAAAGUAGUGAGGAAAGCUAUGUUAACAAACUGGUAGUUGCCUGAGUUGCAAGCAUCUGCUAGGGUUCCUUCAUUGCCGUUUUGGCCCCAAUACGUCGCGAUUCCGGCGGCUUGGGAGGACUUGCAUGAAGAAAUGAGGAUCAAGAGGGACAGCGUUAGGGCUAGGGUUUGUGUUUUGGAUGCCAUUUUUGUAUGUUUUUUUGGGUUGUUGUUCAAAGUGCUUGGGAGUGGACUUGUACUUAUAGGUGCAGGGGACUUAUCCGUUAAGGUUUAGGGGAAGAAAAGUAUGACAGACGUGUUCUGCGGGUUAGAAAUGGGUGCCAGUCUUCAGCUUGGAACCUCGUCAAUCAAGUUAGCUAGGGCCUGUUUAGUCCAAGAAGUUUCACAUAAAACGCCGAUUAAGUUAGGUCGGGUUGGAAAUGCUUUCUUCAAAAACUACUUACACACGUAAGCGCUUCUUAUAUUUUUCAUAAGAAUGCAAGUGCUUUUGAAAAAAAACACUUGAGCUGUUUCGUGUGUUUUUUUCAGAAAAUACUUUAAAUGUUUUUUCAAACUAAAAAUCCAUUAAAGCUCCUUUACUUGUUUAAGGGCACUUCCAAAAUCAUAUUUAAAGAAAAAUUACUUCUAGAGAGAAUUAUAACAUGCUAAUUGAGAGAUCCCGAAACUAGAAACUAGAUAGUUAUAAUGAAGCGUGACCUUAACUGCUUAAUUAAGUGAAAAAAGCCAUCAAAUUUGACAAAAAGUCUGAUGAAAGGUCAUAGCUGUAUCAUCUGUAGAUGAGAUAAUCAUGAAACAAUGUGGGGAAUCAACACAUCCUUAUCAUCGUCAAAAAAAAAAAUUCACUGUGCUGGAAGCACGUUCAAUUGAACGUUUUGGAAGUUUGUGGAUAGAAACCAAAUGGAAUAUGCUUGUAACCAAAAUUGCUGGCUGCUAUAUACAUCUUGGAUUUUAGCUGAGGUGGCCAUUGGCCAAGGACUUUGGUCUAAUCACGAUGCUUUAAUUUCGCAAUCCAAAAAAAAAAUUCAGAUAAAAUUUAGAACACGUUUUGGGAGUGCUUUCAAAUUACUGAAAGCGAUUUUAGAAAGAAAAAAAAUGUUUAUAUAACUAAUCUUUAAUAAAAAUGCAAGUUAAUCCUCCAAAAGUACUGAAACUAGUGCUUCUUUGAUAAAACACUUCAAGUGCUUUUGGAGCUCAAAAAUAUUAUCUCAAGUGGUUUCAGUCAUUUAAAAACACUUUCUAAACGAGUUAAUGACUCGUGUAUGGGGCAACAUUUAGCAAGUAACGGCUCUCAUGAAUUGGAUUGUGGUGAUGUGAAAAUGGGUUUGGGUAAGUUUAGUUUAGACCAGUCAGCAGUGUUUAAAAUAUCCACGACAUUAUCGAUAUUUUCGUUGAAAUAUCCUUAAAAUUAAGGGUCCAUAAGCAAAAGAAGGAUGAAAUGCAAACUUCACCCUAUAUCGGCAAGAUACAAGAAAACAAUGAAUAUAGACAAUAUGUAACAACUCGUCCCAAGAUUUACUGUAUAUAAAUGGUAUUUUUGUAUUUUCAUCAAGUUUGGGAAUUUAUCUUCCUUUUAAAAUUUGUUUUUGGUCUUAAAUGGUGAUCCAAGGGGACCCACUCCCCUGAUUUUGUCCCCGAGCCCUCUUCUCUCUUUCUUCCUCUCCUCUUCCCUUUCCCCUUUCCCGUAUACUUCUAUUCCUCUCUUCUCUAUGAUCACACUCACACCCAGCUGCACUCCCUGCUCGAGGAAGACGCAAUCACCAUCUAAACCACGUCCCUUUCCUCUUCCUCUUGCCUCUGUGCAACUCGGCGAAACCAAGAAAAUAACCUCCGGCAAGUCCGACGGCUUUCGAAGCCAUUUCCUGCCAAACCACGGCGCGUUGGCCGGCGUGCAAGGUAUCAAUCUCUUCGUCCCGUCAAGUACUAUAACUUUUCUUUUUGUUUCACUCAAUUUAAUUGAGUAUUGAAGAAGUUAUACUCAUUUGAAUCUUACCCAGUUUCCGGCGACCUCCGAGGCUUUCGAGGAAAUUUCAGGCCAAACCAUGGCGAGUCAGACGUGAGGUAUCAUUCUCUUCGUCUCUUCCAGGACUACAACUUUCGUUUUUGUCUCGCUUGAUUUCGUUGAGUAGUGACAAAGUUAUGGCUGUUUAAAGUGGGGUGGUUUUCCGGCCGAAUUUCCGGCCUUCUUCUUCCUUGGCAACAGGCCACCCGGCCUUUCCCUCUCCCUCGGACCUUAGGCCCGUGUUGUCUUAAGCCCAAAACCCUAGCCUUUAGUUUUAAGUUUUAUUAUUUGGUUUUAAAACCCUAAAAAGGGCCUUGGGCCGGUGGUUUUUAAAAAGGGCUUAAAGCCCUGUUUUUCUUUAUUUAUUUUUAUUAAGGCCUUAAGGCCUUGUGAUUUUGUGCCCGUGGGUGUGUGUGUUAGGUGUGUAUGUGUUUAUGCAUGCACAUGCAUGCCGUGUGUGUGUGUGUAUUUGUAGUAUGUGUGUGUUUGGGCUAAAGCCCAAACCCCAAUUCUCACCCUAAAACCAUUUUAACCCAAAAUCCUAGGUUCCUAAAAUCCUUUAAAACCCUAAACCCAUCCAAUCCCAAAUCCCCUAUUUUAUUUAAACCUAAACCCUAAUCCGGAUUUCAAGCCUAAAACCCAUUUGACCGUUGACCCCCGGUCAACGUUGAUUUUAGGGUUGACUUUUCGGGUUUUCGUCCGGGACCCUUCUUAGGGUAAUUCGACGUUCUAAAUCCGUUUCCAAUGUCCAUUUUCCCAAAUUCAAUUGUUAUUAUAUAGUUUUAUUUAUUGGACUCUUUAUGUGCUUAGGGGCAAUUAUUGUGACGUUUCCAUCUUCGCUAGUGGCACAGCUUUUGGCAACUAAGUAUUGUGAGUGGACCCCUUCUAGAAUUACAUGAUUUGAUAAUUUAAUUGCAUAAAUGAUUAGCAUGCCUACGAAUUUAUGAUUUGAUUUAUGUGAAGCCUGAUGAUUUAAUAUAUUGAUUAUCGUCUCGGGUUUUGGUGAGGAAUUAUUUGUUAGCCUAUAUUGAGCUAUAUUUUAAUAUAUCGUAUUUUCUAUUAAAACCAUGAACUGGUAGACUAUCUGAUAGAUGACGAUAGGAUGCUAGAACAUGUUUUUGAACCCCUCUUUAUAGUGUAGACGAUGAUCGGUAACCUAUGCUAUGAAGUGGUUUUUUUUAGAGAGACGUAACUAUUUGUGCGUACCUAGUAGACACUAUGCCGCCUGGGGCAAGGAACUGGUGUUGGCAUUUAGGCCGGGAGAAAUAAUCCCUAGCGAAAGGCUGAGGGACACGGAGACAGGCAGUGGGCCAAGAGGGAGUUAUCUCUGGCUACGGGCACAGAGACUGAGGUGCAAGCAUUGGGCCGGGAGUUAUAUUUAUUCAGUGAUCUUUCUAGCAGCACACUGCGUUUACGAGACGAUUUAUGAUGCGUUUACUGUUUUGAUUUCCGCGAUGUUUUUCCGCGUUAUGGCGUUUGAGAUAUUUUUGGCAUACUAGGAUUUUUAUUAAAUCCAUCACUUAUUAUGCUAGUAGUUUUCAUUUAUAUAAACUUUGGGGGUUAGUAUGUUGAUAAUUGUUUUAUUAUUAUUGUAUAUAUAAACUUGGUCCACUCACCUUUGUUUUGCGCCCCCAUUCAGGACUUAGAAUCAAGGCACCUAAUCCCGGCGUGAAGACACUUUCGCAGCAGCAUCUUCGGAUCCUCUCGAUGUAGGACUCACUCCUUUACUCAUUAAAUUUUAUCUUAAUUCUUUUUAGUGAUUAGAUUUAGUUGUAUGCUCUGAGCACGUUCCUAAAACUUUUAACUCUUAGUUUUUAAAUUCAUAACACUUACUUAUUUCUUAUUCUUAGCUUUUGUAUCAAUUAAUGGCUUUCGUCACCCUCGGGUGUCGGCCAGCAUGUGUCUUCCUGGUAUUCGGGGAAUAUCAGGGUCGGGGCGUGUCACAAUAUUUACGGAUUAAUUACAAAAUUUUGCUAAUACCUAUUGCAGAUUUCGAACUGUAGAAUUUUUUUUAUAAAUUUUUUCUUUAAUUUCAACUAAAUCUGAAUGAGUACUUACCCCAUUGUAAAUUUCCAUCGAAGACUUUCCAACUAUAUCGAUAUUUUAAACACUGGUUUAGACCAACAUGUUUAAUAUCCAGUGCAUGCAAAUAGAAUGUCAAAUCUUUUUGAAAAACUUCAGUAUGACUGCCACUUAAGGGCAACUAGCAUAUUAAAGAGACCAAUGCAAAGUUGGAUGAGACUAAAAUACAUAAAGUCUCAUGUUUUGGUGAGAUGUGGUUUACAAAUGAUAUAGCAUGUGCCCUACGAAAAACGAGAUCGGAUUACCUAAUUGAAGUUUCUCUAGCAUGAAAAAUUCAAGAGGGAUGUGACGGUUCCGGAAAGUAAAAAAUCACACAUUUUUAUUAAUAAUUUUUUUGUUCGAAUUCGGAAAUGUAUAGAACUGAACAAAUGGAAUAGUGGCUCAGUGAUACCAACAAUUUCAUGUUGCAAAUUACAAAAAAAAAAAAAAAAAAAAAAAAAAAAGGAAAUGUUUUACACAAAAUUAAUGACAAUUAGAGUUAAACAACAGAAACUUGCACUUUAAAUGGUUUUUUUCUGCUGCUUUUGGUAUGUAUAUGCUUUUUCCGCACCGCUGGCUACUGUAUUCUCGGUAAUUUUCAUCGUCAUCCCAGCUGCGUUGCGAGCAUGAACGUUUGAUUCCUGUCAUUGGGGUUUCACAUACUCUGUCAUCACAUGAACCUCCAUGAUCCUUCCUUUUAAACAGCUUUCGAAGUGGAUUUGACUUUGGUUUCAAUGGUUUCAGCUGUUUUGGGGCCCAAAUUCUCUGCAGAUCGGGCAUCCAUCUUGUGGAGUAAGCGAACCUCCGAGCCCUCUCUCUCCUCUCUUGAACUUCAAGUAACUUGCGAGCAUGGUCGUCCUUUUGUUUGAUCUCUUCAGCGCUCGGUCUUCCAAUAUCAGUUUUCAGCGGACGAAGAGACUCACCUACUGCUGGUAAUGAAUCCCAGAUUCUAUAACUUCCAUCCACUUCGACACUCUUCGGUUUUUCUUUACAGGAUCGAUUGCUAUCCUAACUGUUGAGUAAACUAUUAGGGAGUUCUUCCUCAUCAGCAAACAGCAACAAAUCCAUUUUCUUAUAGAUUUUGCGAACCACAUCUUCAAGUGUCUCACAGUACCUGAAAAAUUCCAAAUUCAAAGAUUAAUCUAUCUGCUUAAGUUAAUUUUCCAUCUCAAACAAAAAUUGAUUGCCCGCACAUGUACUUCCGGAAAACUAAUUCCAGGAACGGAUUAUUUAAGCAACAUCGUUUCUUCAAGGAUCAUACUGUAGACAUACACUAUUGGCACAUUGCAAAAGUUGUAUAAACAUAUUCCACACUCGUUCAGAAAAACAUGGGUACGAUGUGCGCAUAACUGGCCUAUAUCCUGUCAAUCUACACUGAUAAGGAAAGACACUUUAACUCAUCUAAGAUUAUAAAGACAACCACUUUCCUUAUUUAGCAUUGUUGCAAAGGUAAGUAGGACAUGAUUUGUUAGAUAGGUAGUAAUAUCCCACAUGAAAGUGGAACACAGUGGCACCGGAAAUGUGUAUUUGUUGAGACAUGAACGAUAGACUGAAUGCAGCGUGUGCUAUAUAGCCUUUCAGCGAAAGCCAUAAUGCCUCAGUAAAACAUCCAUUAUAUAAAGUAAAGAAUAAUUUCAAGGGUAGGGGUUUUCAACUGUGGUACAGAUUUAUUACCUGCUUUUUAUGAUCUUUUCAACAUAAUCAUACACUCCAGUCACCAAAGAAGCCCUCCAGAUGACAUCGAAUUUUCUCCAAAAAGGAGCAAAUCUGUUUUACAGACUUCUGUUUUGUAGAUUCAGCAAUACGUGCACCAACCUCUGAUUGUAGUAUCUCCAUCCGGAAAAAUAUCUGCAAUUCAUAUCGUGCACGAGCUGGCGCAAGGAGGCGGCGAAGCACGAAGCCCGGGGCGGCGAUGCCGGGUCGAGGCGAAAUGCGGGGAGGGAAUUGAGGGUUUGGGAGAGGGAAUUGAAAGUGGGGCCGGGGAGGUGGAAAGAGAGGGAGAGAGAAGUGGGGAGCUUGGAGGAGGAGAGCAGCGGAGAGAGGGAGGAGAAGAAGGGUCUGAAGGCGAAGAGAGAGGCGGAGAGAGGAGGGAAAGAGAGGAUGGUUUUGACGGCGGCGAGGAAGGCUGUGAGAAAUGGAGCUGGGUUUUGGAGGUGGAGGAGUGGGUUGAGGCCUAGGAGGAGGACGAUGCGCUGCGUUUUGCCGUAGUCGGCGAUUGGGUCGCCGGAGCUCCGUUCAGAUGCCAUCGCAUUUGCAGGAGGAGAAAGAGACGGACUUGGGUUGCAGAGAAGGGAGAUGCAAAUGUGGAAUUAAGGAACAGUAAACCGAAUACGCAGUCGUUUUAGUAGAAAAACGACGAUACGGUAGAUGCUUGAGCGGGAAACCAAAUUUUGGCUGUAAAGGAAAUGUUUUAGGCCCCGUUUGGGAUUGAGGUGAUUUUAAAAAAAGCCACUGUGAAAAAAAGCUGAGGGUCAUUUUUGUGUUUGGUAAACUGAAAAAAGGGCUUAUUUUGGAAGCUGCUGUGAAAAUAAGCUGAAAAUCAAAGGAAAAGCUGAAGCUGCUAUUUGCUGCUUUGAAAAAAAGCCAGUUUUUUCAAAGCACACAGAGCUACAAUGCUCCUUUAAUGAAAAGACACACUAUCAUCCUGAUUUUUUUUCCAAAAGCACUUUCACAAAAAAGUUUACCAAACACUCUACUGCUUUAUUUCACAGCCGCUUAUUCUCACAGCACAGCCGCUUAUUCUCACAGCAGCUUUUUUUCAAAGCACAGCAAUACCAAACCAGCCCUUAAUCUCAUGAAGGACCUGUUUGGACUGCAUCUAAAUUUGUUAAAAGCGCUUUUAGAGAACAAAAGAGCUUUUGACAUCAGUUGAAAAAAAAAAAAUAUUUAAAGUACUUCUUCACGUGAAAAAAACACAUGGUUUUUAAUGAAAAUUCCAACAUGAUUUGAAUGAAAGUGCUUUCAAAAAGUAUUAUGAAUAGAUAUGCUUUUUUAUAUGCUUCUAUGAAAAGUGCUUUUUGCAAACAAUGUCGGGCUCGUUUGUAAUUACUUUUAAAAUGGUUGAAAGUGUAUUUCGUAAAAAUAUUUUUAGAAACAAUAUUUAGUAAAAUGCAAGUGAAUCCUAAAAAAAACACUUCAAGAAUAGAACAACCAAAGGGGCGAAAACUGUAAACCUCAUAGCAACCGAAUUACAAUUCGAGAACAUACCCGUUACUGAAUCCCAAAUCGCUGGUUCCCAAGUGUAGUCAUGCACAAGCUCGUUUAGAACCAAUAUUUUCUCUAAGAACGAUUUCAAUCAUUUGAAAAACAUUUUUAAACGAACUGAUGUUUUUAGGAGAAACACAAUGAGGAGCAAAUGAUUCCUAGGCGAGAAGAAAAACUAGACAGAAUGUUAAAUAGCACAUUAUGUACCAAUUUUUCUUCAACAAAUUGGAACUACUGAGAAGUUUGGAAACUAAAAAGUAAAGAUUGAUUCUAAGGAUUCUAACCCUGAUGAUUGCUUAUACAGUCGAACUACUUGAAUAGACUGGACUACCGAAGAUAAACUCAUACAUAUACGAAUUAUUAAAAAGUGAAAGAGGCUCAUCUCAGUUUUUUUUUUUUUUUUUAGUUGAAAGAAAAAAAAGGUAAAACAUGGAGAAGAUCAUGAACAGUAAUGGGUUUUAGUAUAUAUAAAUAUAAUUUGUAACUGUAUCUGUCCAAAUAUGCCGUGCAAGUUCUAUUCAUUAGCAGGUACUUUGAUUGCCAUGCAGUAAGAGCAUACAACGGAGAUUGGCUUUGUAUCAAGGCGUACGUCCCAUACACCUCUUUUAUGGGUGAUGCUGUCCACACACUUCUUUUAAUUACCAGUCGUCAUAUAGAAUGAAUUCAAGAGGAUCAAAUGACUAAAAUUAACAGAGAAUAUGUAAAAGAUAAACCAGAGUGUAUGGAUAACACCACCCUAUCUUAUUAGGAUAAUAACAUCCGAUGUGUUUGAUAUAAUCUUUUAGGGACUAACCAAAACAUUGAGUUACAAAAGUCAAACACUUCCGAUGAUGGAAGAACUAUAUCCACUUCUAUCGUCACAAAACUUGGACAAUAACAUCACACCACCAUACUUUGACGACUUCUUUAUCACCGGCAGAAUUUCCGAAUUCAACAAAGCAGCCGGAACAUACCCACUCUUGGCCGCCUUAGGAGCCGCCAGCAACCCCAAAAACAUCUUCCCUGUCUAAUACAAUGAUGUCACUUGGCGUCUUAACAAGAUGGGAGACUUUGGAGGGACUUUAUUGAGUACUCCAGAGUACUCAGUACUCUCAUUUGUUUAAAAAUAUAAAAAUCAAAAUCUAACGAUUAAAACAUCUAGAGUAUCCAUAUAUAGUACUGCUCAAAACUUUUUGAGACAUUGGACGUGAUCCCUCCUAGAAAUUAUUAAGUUAUACAGUAGUACACUUCAGCCGUGAUACUUUCAUUCAAAGGCUAGCUUUAUACUAAUAUGUGAUACUUUCAUUCCAUAUUUGAGAGCCAUUGGAUAAGUAUAAAGCUAACCUUUACAAUAUGAGCUAGUUAGUUAGCCUUCACACACACAGUGCCUGCCUAUCAUGUAACCAUUGACAAUGAUACCCGACAAUUUAUUUGGAGAGAGGGUCCUCACUCAUUUAUUUGGACCUAUAACUUCAUUUCAUAAUAACUCCAUCACAUCAUUUUAUGUACCAUAGUUUAUUCAAUUUCAAAAAUUAGUACACGCAAUAACAUGUUUUAUCGUAAAAUAUACGAGGUUUUUUAGUAUAUUAGAAAUACGAGAUGAUGCACCACAUGUCAUUAUAUAAAUGAAGAGAAAUUUUUUUUUUUUUUAAAUGUGCCUCCACUUAUAUAAUGUAUUGUACCACCCAAAUUCUGAAUAAGUGAAAGAUCUCUCCAAAAAAUACAUAUGCAUGUUUUAUUCAAAAGGUAAGGAAUGAUGCGUCAUCAUCCCUAACACACUUUAUUAUAGUAGUAGCAUCAAUUGAGGCAGAGAAGUUAAUUAGAUGCUGUCCUUAAUGGAUGCACUAUAACCGUUGUCAUAGAACCUGCUCCAAAGCAUAACUCCUCCGUACUUGGGCGAAUUCUUAAUCGUUGGAAGAACUUGUGACUUGAGAGCGUCAGCAGGAAUAAAUCCGCCGCUUGGAGCGGCCUCAGGAGCUGCCGGUAACCCCAUGAACACCUGGGUGGCCGGAACCGAGGCCCAUUGGUUCCAACUGCUUAAAAGAGCGUCGGCAUUACCGUCUGCAUACUGGCAUGGGGGGUUGUUGUAGAACUGAACCCAAACGUAGUCAAAUAAACCGGUUUGGAUAGCGGCGUCCAGGUGAGCAUCCGGGAUCGGACAUUGUGGAGCUGCGGCUAAAUAGACCGUUUUUGCCUGUGCGUUGUGUCCGUUGAGUGACCUGGCGAGCUCAUCAUAGAACUGCGCACCACCCGCCUCAAUGUCGAAAUCAACGCCGUCCAAAACCGCGUCCCCAAGCGGGCGCGAAGCGGACUGACCACCUAAGAAGUUGUUCCAGAUGUAAUCAGCAACUUGCCUUGCAUCAUCAGCUGAAGUGAGAGAGUAACUUCCGGCGCCCCCUCCAAUCGAGAGGAGGACUUUUAUGUUUUUUGAUUGGCAGGUUCUGAUGUCAGCACUCAGCCCCGUGCAAGUACCACUAGGGGGGUCGCAGUGGCCGGCGAGGUUUAGGACAGGGGUUUGGUUGUUUCCGAAAGUAGUGAGGAAAGCUAUGUUAACAAACUGGUAGUUGCCUGAGUUGCAAGCAUCUGCUAGGGUUCCUUCGUUGCCGUUUUGGCCCCAAUAGAUCGCAAUUCCGGCGGCUUGGGAGGACUUGCAUGAAGAAAUGAGGAUCAAGAGGGACAGAGUUAGGGUUAGGGUUUGUGUUUUGGAUGCCAUUUUUGUAUGUGUUUUUUUGGGUUGUUGCUCAAAGUGCUUGGGAGGGGACAUGUACUUAUAGGUGGAGACUUACUGGUUAAGGUUUAGGGGAAGAAAAAUAUGACACACGAGUUCUGCUUGUAAGAAAUGGAUGCCAGUCUUCUGCUUGUCAAUCAAGUUAGCUAGGGCCUGUUUGGUCGAAGUUUCACAUGAAACGUCGAUUAAGUUAGGUCGGGUUGGAAAUGCUUUCUUCAAAAACCACUUACACACGUAAGCUCUUCUUAUAUUUUUCAUAAUAAUGCAAGUGCUUUUGGAAAAAACACGAGAGGUGUUUCGCAUGUGUUUUUUUCAAAAAGCACUUCAAAUAUUUUUUCUACCUAAAAAUCCAUUAAAGCUCCUUUACUUGUUUUAAAGAAACUUCCAAAAUAAUAUUUAAAGAAAAAUUACUUCUAGAGAGAAUUAUAACAUGCUAAUUGAGAGAUCCCGAAACUAGAAACUAGAUGGUUAUAGUGAAGCGUGACCUUAACUGCUUAAUUAGGUGAAAAAAGCCAUCAAAUUUGACAAAAAGUCUGAUGAAAGGUCAUAGCUGUAUGCAUAAUCCGUAGAUGAGAUAAUCAUGAAACAAUACGUGGGGAAUCAACACAGCCUUAUCAUCGUCAAAAAAUUUUAGUGUUCUAGAAACACGAUCUGAUAUACAAAAUGUUUUAACAUCAAUUGAACGUUUUGGAAAUUUGUGGAUAGAAACCAAAUGGAAUAUGCUUGCUAGCUGCUAUAUACAUCUUGGAUUUUAGCUGAGGUGGCCAUUGGCCAAGGACUGCGAUCUAAUCACGAUGCUUUAAUUUCGCAGUACGAAAAAAAUUUCAGAUAAAAUUUAGAACAUGUUUAGGGAGUGCUUUCAAAUCACUGAAAGCGAUUUUAGAAAGAAAAAAAAUGUUUAUACAACUAAUUUUUAAUAAAAAUGCAAGUUAAUUCUCUAAAAGUAUUGAAAUUAGUGCUUCUUUGAUGAAUUACUUUAAGUGCUUUUGGAGCUCAAAAAUAUUUUCUCAAGUGGUUUCAGUUAUUUAAAAACACUUUCUAAACGAGUUAAUGACUCGUGUAUGGCAACAUUUAGCAAGUAAUAGCUCUCAUGAAUUGGAUUGUGGUGAUGUGAAAAUGGGUUUGGGUAAGUUUAGUUUAGAUCAGUCACCAGUGUAUAAAAUAUCCAUGAAAUUGUCGAUAUUUUCAUCAAAAUAUCCUUAAAAUUUAGGGUCCAUAAGGAAAAGAAGGGUAAAAUAUAAAUUUCAACCUAUAUUGGCGAGAUAUAAGAAAACAAUGAAUAUCGACAAUAUUUACCAAUUAACUACAAAAUGUUGCUAAAACCUAUUGCAGAUUUUGAACUUUAGAAUUUUUUUUUUAUAAAUUUUUUCUUUAAUUUCGACUAAAUCUGAAUGAGUUGAUACUUGAUAUGCUUAUCCCAUUGUAAAUUUCCAUCAAAGACUUUCCAACUAAAUCGAUAUUUUAAACAUUGGUUUAGACCCACAUGUUUAAUAUCCAGUGCAUGCAAAUAGAAUGUCAAAUCUUUCAGAAAAACUUCAGUAGGACUGCCACUUAAGGGCAACUAGCAUAUUAAAGAGACCAAUGCAAGGUUGGAUGAGACUAAAAUACAUAAGAGCAAUUCCACCGGGGACCAAAUGUCCCAGCCUCCAGUCCAAAAACCAAGCCAGGCCUCUGUCAAUCAAGUCCACCCCAACAAACUGACUGGUACCCAGCCCGAGUUGGGCAAGAGCCCAGCCCAAAAGAGACUGAGACAGAAGCCGGGGAAGAAGCCUGGCGCGUGCACUUCACGUAGCCGUUUGGCGAGUGCCCGACAAGCUUUCAGACGCCGGGGCCCGCGUGCAGGCGCUGUCAGUCCCCCCCCCGAGUUGCGACGUGGCUACCUCUCUGCCGUUGGAUUUCCAACGGCUAGUUUUCUAGACCGUUGGAUUUCCAACGGUAAAAAAAUUUUAAAUUUUACUUUUAAACUAGACCGUCGGAUCAAAGAUCAACGGUCCACGUUUUUUUCACAAAAAGUAAAUUAAAAAAAAAAAAAAAGGGCCCAACGGUCAGAAAUAUGACCGUUGGCCACGUGGCAACUCCCUAGCUCUUGGAUUUGAAUAUUUUUCAAAUCCAACGGUCCAGAUUAAUUAACUAUAUUAAAAUUCAUUAAAAAUUAUUAAAAAAUACAGAAAAAUUAUUAAAAAAUACAGAAAAUUUUAAAAAAAUUACAGAAAAUUUUGAAAAAUGUUAAUUUUUUUUCCUAUAAAUACCUAACCCUCAUCUUCUACCUUUACACCACAUUCCAAUAUUUUCUACACUUUCUAUACUAUCUACAUUUCAAAAUAUUUUCUACACUUUAAGAGAAAAAAAAUGUCUUCGUGGAAGCUCAUUGAAGAUGUUACGUUGUGUGAAUGUUGGGUUCACACUACUCAUGAUCCGAUUACGGGUAAUGAGAUGGAUAAGCGAGAGAUGUGGAGUAAAAUUACGAAAGCGUUUUGUGAUGUACAUGGAGAAAACGCCAGAACUAGUCAAGGUCUUCAAGGUCGUUGGAAAAAACUCAAUGCAUCAUUUACUUGUUGGAAAAACGCCAUCUCUCAUGCUUCCGGUAACCUCCGUAGUGGGACAAGUUUAGCGGAUCAGGUGACAAUAUUUUUUAUUUAUUUAUAUGCAUUCCACUCACAUUAAUAUUUUGAUUUAUUUAAUUUCGUAUGUAAUUUUUAUCUUAUUUCUUAUGUAAUUUUUAUUUAAUUUCUUAUGUAAUUUUUAUUUAAUUUCUUAUGUCAUUUUUAUGUAAUUUAUAUGCAUUCCACCCGUAUUAAUAUUUUGAAUUUAUUUAUUUGUGUUACACCCGCAUUUUUUAACACUAUGUUAUCCCACUUUUUUAUAGACACUACAAGCUCAAGCAUUCUACAAUUCAAAGAACGGGAACAAAUCAUUCAAUAGAUUGGAAUGUUGGCAAAUUGUCAAAGAUUGCCCUAAAUACAAAAUUGUGGCAACUGGUCCAGAAGUUGUCAUGCACGGUAUGGGUCUACAUAGUUCUCCAGAACCAGACAUGGCCGAACAAGAAGCCGACACAUUUCAAGACACGGAAGGGACGGCUGAACAAGUGCCCGAGACCCAACCGACUCGUCAGUCCCUAAGGCCUCUAGGUAAAAAGGCGUCAAAGAAAAAAGGUAGUUCUUCCAAAAAAUGACUACACUAAAUAUAUGGAGGAACUUGCUCGCCAAGGUGAACUAAACUUGGCACGAGAAAAGGCUAGAGAUGAGGAAAAAGUUGCUGCUAUGGCAGCAAUAUUAGCAGCUACUGAGGCCCGUGAUGCGGCGGCUGAAAGACAAAGAGAAGUAGUUAAUCGAGAGAACGAGCUGGUUAGAGAAGCACUUCAUCGAGAAAAUGAAUUGCUUCGAGAAGAAAGGAUGGCUCAAGCAUCGUGAUCGUGACACUAUGAGCAAGUCUCUAGUAGGACUGUCUCCGAAUUCUAAAUAUUUUUUAGACAUCGGAAAAAGAGAUGCCAUGCGUAGGAGGCGUGCAAGAGAUGCGGAAACAAGUCAAGGGGGUUCUAGCUACACAAAUCAUGGCAACCAAGAUCCUAGCACCACAUAUCCUAACUCGAGAGACUUUAUUUAAUUUCUUAUGUAUUUUUAUGUAUUUUCUUUCUUUUUUCUAGUAGAACUUUAUUUAAUUUCUUAUGUUUUUUCUUUUUUUUAGGUUUGAACUUUAUUUAUUUUCUUAUGCAAUUUUAAUGUAAUUAUUUAUUUAAUUUCUUUUGUACUUUAUUUAAAACACAUGAAAUAAGAUUACACAUAAACUCACCAAAUAAAUUUAAAAACAAAACACAUUACAUAGAAUUACAUAAACUCACCAAAUAAACUUAAAAACAAAACACACUACAUAGAAUUACAUAAACUCACCAAAUAAACUUAAAAACAAAACACACUACAUAGAAUUACUUAAACUUAAAAAAAAAUACAAUUUAUUCUUCAACCACAAGCCUCAUUCUAAUUAUCUUCGCCUCCAUGCAAUCCCCACUGGUGCUCAAUCAAGUCAUUCUGGCGGGUUACGUGCCAGUAUGGCUCUUGCACAUUAGUGUACCGCUGAACGAUCAAUUCAUUGUAACGUCCAUCACGUUCCAACGGCUCGUGUUGCACUGGAUCUUCGGUCCCAUCAUGAGCACAAUAAAUACGUGUUCUUGAGUUGUUCAUCGGAUCUGGCUCAUAUUCAUCGACGGCAUCAUAAUCAUACUCAUCUUCAACAAUCAUGUUAUGGAGAAUAAUACACGUCAUCAUGAUGGAUCGAAGAGCCUCGACAUCAAACAUUCUAGCUGCAGCCCUGACAAUCGCCCAACGAGCUUGCAGGAUACCAAAACAACGCUCGACAUCCUUCCUACACCCUUCUUGACAUUUUGCAAAGUGUUUUUCCUUUUCAGUCUGUGGAUGUGGCACUGUUUUGACAAAUGUUGACCACCUUGGGUAAAUGCCAUCUGCAAGGUAGUAUGAUCCCUCGUAUUGGGUACCAUUAACCCAAUAUGUGCAUCUCGGCGAGUUUCCUUGCAGCAGUUCGUCGAACACUGGGGAUUGGGCAAGGACAUUUAGGUCAUUUUGAGCUCCUGGAACACCAAAAAAAGCAUGCCAAAUCCAUGUAUCAAAUGAAGCCACCGCUUCCAAAAUGAUGCUUUUGGCUCCUUUUCUGUCGCCAUAUGCUCCUUGCCACGCACUUGGACAGUUUUUUCCAAGUCCAGUGCAUGCAGUCGAUGCUUCCAAUCAUGCCAGGGAAGCCUCGCAUCUCACCCUUCCUCAGAAGCCUUCGCAUGUCCCUUGACGUGGGUGUCCGGAGGUACUCUUUGGUGUAGAGGGCUUCAAUUGCAGAGCAAAACCGCAUCAGGGACUCCAGAACAGUUGUUUUUCCCAUCCUCGCGAUCUCAUCCACUUGAUCUGCAGAUGCUCCAUAUGCAAGCAUUCGCAAGGAUGCCGUAAUUUUUUGCUCGGGAAUAAGACCUAGAACAUGAAAAGCAUCCUCUUUUUGCACAAAGUAUGAAUCAUUGUUGCAAAUAUCACUCAUGAUUUUGUUGAACAAAUGUCGUUGCAUUCUAAAACGCCGUCUAAACAUGAUCAGGGAAUAUGCUAUUGGGAAUAAAAUAGUCUUCCAAUAGAUUUUUACCUCGUUUUUCCCUUUUUCUAUCGAGGUUUGCAACACGUCUUGGUUUGGCUAUCUGACCCACGGCUUCCAUGACACGGCGGGAAUGUGAGGCCUUCUGCCUUCUAUGGUGAUCAUCCUCAUCCUCCUCCAUGAAGAAAGCCUCAUCUCCACCUCCACCUUCCUCGAGAUUGGCCAAUUCUGCCUGUUGUGCCAACAACCUUUGUUGUUGCUCUUGCAACUGCUUAUACACCCUUCUUGAAGAAGACAUUGUAAUAAGAACUCAAGAUUUGAAAAUGAUGAACAAGGAUUCUGAGCUAAAAAGAAGGAUUGAGCUUGGUGUGAGGAUGGAUGUAGGGAUGUAGGGUUUAUAUGGACAAAAAAAGAAAGGAUGAGGUUCUGGACAAUGCCACGUGGCACUACGUGAUUGGUUGAAAAUCUUAUCGAAAUCUUGGCUAAAUUAUUGUAAACCGGAAGUGACACGUGGCGUGUCAGGAUUGGUCGAGAAUAUUAUCGAAAAUCUAUCCACAAAAUAGUACGUUCGGAUAAUGACACGUGGCAUGACGUGAUUGGUUGAAAAUCUUAUCGAAAUCUUGGCUAAAUUAUUGUACCAUGGAAGUGACACGUGGCGUGUCGGGAUUGGUUGAAAAUAAUAUCGGAAAUCUAUUCACAAAAUAGUACGUUCAGAUAAUGACACGUGGCGUGACGAGAUUGGUUAAAAAUCCUAUCCGAAAUUAAAACUAUUUUAUUUUUUUAUUCUUUAUUUUAAAUGGGUUAAAAAUCUUAUCCGAAAUAAACUUAAAAAAAAAACACACCAAAUAAAUGCGCUGGGUGCUAGCGCAUUUUUUUAGGGGUGGAGAUGCCUUGGCCUAUUACUGUUCACUCCAGUCUAUUACUGUUCAUUUGAGUGGAUAAAUGCGCUGGGUGCUGGCGCAAAGUCCACAGGGGUGGAAUUGCUCUAAAGUCUCGUGUUUUGAUGAGAUGUGGUCUACAAAUGAUAUAGCAUGUGCCCUACGAAAAAUGAGAUCGGAUUACCUAUUUGAAGCUUCUCUAGUAUGAAAAAUUCAAGAGGGAUGUGACGGGUCCGGAAAAUAAAAAAUCACACAUUUUUAUUAAUAAUUUUUUUGUUCGAAUUCGGAAAUGUAUAGAACUGAACAAAUGGAAUAGUAGCUCAGUGAUACCAACAAUUUCAUGUUGCAAAUCACAAAACAAAAAAAAAGGAACUGUUUUACACAAAAUUAAUGACAAUUAGAGUUGAACAACAGAAGCUUGCACUUUAAACGGUUUUUUUCUGCUGCUUUUGGUAUGUAUAUGCUUUUUCCAUGUCUCGAUGUAGUGCCAGUUCACAGGUCAUCAUCCUGGAACAAUGCUUUCGAAACAGAGCCGCACGGCUGGCUACUGUAUUCUCGGUAAUCUUCAUCGUCAUCCCAGCUGCGUUGCGAGCAUGAACGUUUGAUUCCUGUCAUUGGGGUUUCACAUACUCUGUCAUCACAUGAACCUCUAUGAUCCUUCCUUUUAAACAGCUUUCGAAGCGGAUUUAACUUUGGUUUCAAUGGUUUCAGCUGUUUUGGGGCCCAAACUCUCUGCAGAUCGGGCAUCCAUCUUGUGGAUGAAGCGAAUCUCCAAGCCCUCUCUCUCCUCUCUUGAGCUUCAAGUAACUUGCGAGCAUGGUCGUCGUUUUGUUUGAUCUCUUCAGCGCUCGGUCUUCCAAUAUCAGUUUUCAGCGGACGAAGAGACUCACCUUCUGCUGAUAAUGAGUCCCAGAUUCUAUAACUUUCAUCCACUUCGACACUCUUUGGUUUUUCUUUACAGGAUUGAUUGCUAUCCUCACUGUUGAGUAAACUAAUAGGGAGUUCUUCCUCAUCGGCAAACAGUAGCAAAUCCAUUUUUGUAUAGAUUUUGUGAACCACAUCUUCAAGUGUCUCACAGUACCUGAAAAUGUCCAAAUUCAAAGAUUAAUCUACCUGCUUAAUUCUCCAUCUCAAACAAAAAUUGAUCACCUGCAUUUGUACAUCAGGAAACUAAAUGCAGGAAUGAAUUAUUUAAGCUCCAUCAUUUCAAGGAUCAUACCGUAGGCUAAUAUGCUAUUGCAGAAGUUGUAUAAACAUAUUCCUCACUCGUUCAGAAAAACAUGCCUACGAUGUGCGGAUAACUGGCUUAUACCCUGUAAAUCUACACUAAUAAGGAAACACACUUAACUCAUCUAAGAUUAUAAAGAUAAUCACUUUCCUUUUUUAGCAUUAUUGCAAAGGUAAGUAGGAGAGCAUUGGAUGGGCAGUAAUAUCCCACAGGAAAGUGGAAACAGUGGCACCGGAAAUGUGUAUUUGAUGAGACAUGAACGGUAGACUGAAUGAGUGUCGAGAAAGCCAUAACGACUCGGUAAAACAUCCAUUAUAUAAAGUAAAGAAUAAUGCGAAAGGCAGGGGUUUUCAACUCUGGUACAGAUUUAUUACCUGCUUUUUAUGAUCCUUUCAACAUAAUCAUCUACACUCCAGUCACCAAAGAAGCCCUCCAGAUGACAUCGAAUUUUCUCCAAAAACGAGCAAAUCUGUUUUACAAACUUCUGUUUCAUAGAUUCUGCAAUACUUGCACCAACCUCUGAUUGUAGUAUCUCCAUACGGAAAAAUAUCUGCAAUUCAUAUCUAGUACUAGGUGAAGGAAAAGUGUAAAUGUAAUUGGAGACAAAUUUUCAUAUUGGUAGAGUUAUAACUGGAUUAAUGCAUAAUACAGAAGACAGUUCAGUUAUAAAUGAGAAAGGAUACUCUCGAACUAUUUUUCCAGAAGUCAGUCCUUCAGAUUCUGAAUCGGAUGCUUUAACAAACGGGCCGGAGCUUUUCUGCCUUGCAGUGAUAUCCUUGGGAUCUCUCAGUAGAAGUUUUAACACCUCAGCAGAAACCAAAUCAUCAGUAGCACCAGAUUUUACAAGGGAAGUUUGACUCUCUGAAAGGGCUUCUGUUUCCUGCUUUUUAUUUAACCAAUAUAUGGAUGAAUUCACAAGCCGAUAUGCCAAUGCCCCCAAGUCUACUGCUUCAUAUUCAAGCCCCUGUUGUAUCUUGUUGGAUAGACUACUGAAAAAAUCUUCCGACGUUUCUGAUCUAAAUUCCAAAGCAGCUUCAUCUUGUAUGCCAGAAGCCACAGUCAAAGAAUUUUCUCCAAUGGAAGGAGAUGAAGAAAUUGGCUGUUCACUUUCAUGGUGCAAGUUAUCCAACCUAUUGUCCAUCCCUUUUCUAUUGAGCUGGUCUGCCUGGGAUUCUUUCUCCACUAUUAGACCACGAUCGCUAGACUUCUUAAUUUGUUUCAUCCAGCAUUUCAGAAAUCGUAUCUUUUUUGAGUUAUAACAUUCCCUGGCAAAGUAAACCUCUUCCAAACCUAUCUCUGAGUGUUCAAAUGCUGCCUUGUAGAAGGCACUCCAUGUGAGAUCUUGUAGCAACUGUGAAUUUCUUUUGUUAUUUCUCUUCCUUCCCUCCUUGCCUGCAGAAUGCUUAUUGGAUGGCCCAGUUUGGUCCAAAUCAGCAUUCGGUUCGCAAAUCCCAUUCUUCAUAUUUCGACUUGAUUGGUCUGCUUUUGCUCCACCAAUAUCAUGCACUUUUGUCUGAGGGUGAAAUCCUUCAUCCACAAUAAACAGCCGAGCCGAAGAAACUGUGAAAGGUUUGAGAAUUCCGGUAGACGAUACACCACUGUCACUUGAAAGAGACACUAAUGCUCCAUGACCAUUCCUAUAUAAGAAACUCAAGAGAAUCUGCCAAAUGGGUGCUGACUUUCUCUUUGCAUUCUCACCCAAGUCCACUGCUACCACUUCUAGAACCUUAUCUGCAUAAUAAUUGCCAGAACUUUCUUUUCCAUCUUCACCAGGUUUUCCCAAAACAUCACAGACAAGGACUGGAUCAGAUAAGUGCCCCUUGAAUUUCAGAAACUCAUUGUACUUUUGCAAAGCCUUAACCUGGAACUUUGUCACGCCUUUGACAAAAUACCCCCAGAACAAUUCCUUCAGUUUACCACCCUUUGUUUGUGAAUUCAUGAUUUCUAGGGAAAAGAAAGCAUCAUCAGCUGCAUUUCUAGGCAACUUCUUCAAAUCAACCAAUUGAAGAUCACAAACCUUGCAUUCCAAAGGCUUCCCACUUACAUCUAAGAUCUCGAGACUCAACUGCGCAUUGACUUUCUUAUGACUAUCAUCACAACCGAAAAACUUGGAUGAAAUCCCUAUCUCGGGAUAAAUCAAACCAAAGGAAACAAGAGCAGAGCCAAGAAUAAUCCAACCAGUCGAGCAAAAUCCCCAUCCCAAACUCCUAACCCCACUCUCGAAAAACCCAAAUCUCGUCUUAUCCUCAUCGUUCCCAACCUUACCCUCACCACAUUCUAAUUCAUACCUGACAUCAACCCAGCUACACUGAAUAUCUCUACUCACAAAUGCUUCAUUCACAUUCUCAAAGAAACCCCUAAAUCUCUCGGAAAACGCUUUCACAUUUUCCAAAGACUCGUCACCCACACCCACUGUUAGGUCACAACUUCUAAAUUCCCUUUCUCGACCUGCUAGUAGCUGAUAGUAAUGGCGGUGAGUGAGUGGGAAGGAAGAUAGAGAGAGAUAGAAAGUUUCUUGUAAUAUUGUUUUUCUAAUUCAAUCCUGCAGAACAAUGCCACAAUUUGGUUCUUAUACAACCAUCCUUCUCACAAUGCCAGCUGGCUACUAACAAUAACGACAUGUAGCUAAAUAGUUUUCCACUAUUAUUCUAACCACUAUUAUAAUCAUAACACUACCCCUCCCUUACAAAAUAAACCUUGUCCUCAAGGUUAGAAUUAAAGACUGAAAUCAGGAAAUCUGGCAGCAAACUCGUCAUAAUCCUCCCAUGUAGUUUCGUCCUCUUUGUUGUUCUUCCACUGGAUUAACAACUGAACUCCAGCAGCUUGGCCCUUCUUGUAGACCCUCAUUUGUAGCACCUUGAGUGGUUCGAGUGGUAGCAACCCAUCAUCAGUGACAGUAGGCAAGAAUGGAGUUAUGUGACCUUGUCUCCCAAGUGCUUCUUCAAGCAACUAACAUGAAAGACUGGAUGAAUUUUUGAAUUCUCAGGCAGUUUCAAUCGGUAGGCAACCUUCCCAAUAUUUUCCAAAACCUCAUAAGGACCAUAGUACCGGGGAUGAAGCUUAUGGUAAGCAUGAGAUGACAAAGAUUGCAAUUGAUAGGGAAUUAAUUUCAAAUACACCAAAUCUCCUUCCUCGAAAACCCUCUCACUCCGAUGCUUAUCUGCUUGUGUUUUCAUCCGGUUCUGAGCUACUAGUAAAUUGGUCCUGAGCAUUGCUAAUAUUUUGUCCCUAGUUAGCAGCCCUUGCUCCACUAUAUCCAACUUAGCAGUGCCAAGCUCAUAAGACGCGAUGUGUGGUGGUGGAUAACCAUAGACCACUUCGAAGGGGGUGAACUUUGAGGAAGUGUGGUAGGAAGUGUUAUAGCUCCAUUCUGCCCAUGGAAGCCAGUGGAGCCACUUCUUAGGUUGACAGCUAGUGAAGCAUCGCAAGUAAGUUUCAAGGCACCGAUUCACCACCUCUGUCUGGCCAUCACUCUGUGGAUGGUAACCCGAGCUCAUACACAACUUGGAGCCUUGCAACUUAAAAAAAUUCUUUCCAAAAAACACUCAUGAAAAUGGUGUCCCUGUCACUCACAAUGGUAGAGGGCAUCCCAUGGAGUUUAAACACAUUAUCAACAUAUUCCUGAGCUACCAUGCUUGCCGUAUACGGAUGUGCUAAGGGGAUGAAAUGAGCAUACUUGGACAGCCUGUCUACGAUUACCAGGAUCACUGAUUUGCCUUUGCACAGAGGUAAACCAGUGAUGAAAUCCAUGCUUAUAUCCUUCCAUACAUGUGUAGGGAUCGGCAGAGGUUGAAGUAAUCCGGGAGGGGAAAUGGUUUCAUACUUAUUUUGCUGGCAUUCCCGACAUUCAGCCACCCAUGACCUGAGAUCUUUCUUCAUUCCUACCCAAUAGAAGCCCCUCUUCAAUAUCUGAUAAGUCUUUAGAACCCCUUUCAUGGCCUGCACUUGGAGAAGAGUGAUGUUCCUCAAAGACCUUCCUUUUCCAACUUGAAUCUGGGCUAAGCACGAUCCGUCCUUUGUAUUUGAGGAAACCGUUGUCUAAAUGGUACUUGGACAGAUUGGGGUCAAUUGCAGCAGCUUAAGAAUAUGCUAACACCUUCUGCACCUUGCUUUGAAUCCAACUAUCUUGUUCUAACCCUCUCCGAAGUUCAUCUAGCCACCCGAAGUAGGGGUAUGUGAUAGCUUUGCACUCCAAUAAGUCACUGAGAGGUUUCUCUUGUAAUUGAGACGAACCAACUACUCGAGAUAAGGCAUCAGCCAUUAUGUUGUCAUUGCCUUGCCUAUAUUGUAUCUCAUAAUCAAAUCCCAACAACUUGGCCACCCAUUUCUGUUGGAACGGGGUAGUAGUUCUUUGACUCAGAAAGUAUUUCAAGCUGCUAUGAUCUGUCUUUAUGAUGAAAUGGCGCCCUUGAAGGUAGUUUUGCCAUUUUUUGAUAGCACUAACAAUGGCAAUCAACUCUCUUUCGUAUGUAGACAAUGCUUAAUUCCGUGGUCCCAAUGCUUGACUUGUGAAAGCUAUAGGUCUGCCAUUCUGUUGCAACACAGCCCCUAUUCCAUUGCCAGAUGCAUCACAUUCCAAAGUGAAGGGAAUAGCAAAAUUGGGUAAGGCUAAUAGCUGCGGAGAAGUCAUUGUUCUUUUUAAUGCUUGGAAAGCUGCCGUGGCUUCAGGGGACCAAUUGAAACCAUCAUUUUUUGUUAGUUGAUACAAGGGUUGACACACCUUGCCAUAACCGGGGAUGAAUUUUCUAUAAUACCCUGAGAGCCCGAGAAAUCCCCUCAACUCUUUGACAUUUUUCGGUAUCGGCCAAUCUAUAAUUGCUUGAAUUUUAGUAGGAUCUGCAGCCACCCCAUCACGAGAGACGAUGUGCCCCAAGUAUUCCACCUGUGAUUGGCCAAAAGAGCAUUUCGAUUUCUUCACUGCUAAUUGGUGUUUCUGUAAUAACUCCAAAGUUUGGUGCAAGUGUGAAAGAUGGUCCUCCCAGGUCUUGCUGUACACCAAAAUGUCGUCAAAGAACACCAAGAUGAAUUUCCGGAGGUAAGGCUUAAAAAUGUCAUUCAUAAGGGCUUGGAAAGUGGCAGGAGCAUUUGUAAGACCAAAGGGCAUGACUAAGAAUUCAUAAUGCCCUUGGUGAGUUCGGAAGGCAGUCUUUUCCACAUCGGAGGGACAUACGGAUCUGAUGAUAUCCAGACCUAAGAUCAAGCUUAGAAAAAUACUGAGCGCCAUGCAAUUCAUCUAACAAAUCAUCCACUAAUGGAAUAGGAUAUUUAUCCUUAAUGGUAAUGCUGUUCAAUUCACGAUAGUCCAUGCAAAGCCUCCAAGUGCCCUCCUUCUUCUUGACCAAGAGAACUGGAAAUGAAAAGGGACUAUGACUUGGCUGGAUGAAUCCAGCAUCUAAAAGUUCUUGCACAGCUCGUUCAAUCUCAGUUUUUUGCAUAGGACCAUAAUGGUAUGGUCUAAUACUCGGAGGCUUGGAACCAGGAAGCAAUGGAAUCUGGUGAUCAUGAGCCCGUGGAGGUGGUAAGGUAGUAGGAGGCUUAAAAACCGUUUCAAAUUGCCUGAGCAUACCCUGCAGCUCAAUGAGUUGCUGGGGAUUCAAGUUGGAUGCCUCCAACGGAUUAGUUUCCAUUGAAUACAAUAAGACGCCCCAAUUAGAGUAUUUAAACUCUUUUUCAAGCUGUUGACAAACAGUAUCCUGUACCAAGUACGCUGGAGCAGUGGAAUGAACAAGUUUAUAGUGGUCUUUUCCCACAGAAAAUUCCAUGGUUAAGUUGUGAAAAUCCCACAAAACUGGACUCACAGAUGAGAGCCAUUUCACACCCAAUACAACAUCGCAACCCCCUAGAGGAAGUGCGUAGAGGUUAGUGUGGCAGCGAUAUGCACCCAAUUCCAAGGGAAUUUGUUGGCAACAGCCUUGACUUCGGACUUUACCCCCAUCGGCAAUCAUGACAUCGAAGGGUUUGGUGGUGUGACAAGGCCACCCGAGCUGCUUAAGCAACCUAGAAUCCACAAAAUUGUGGGUGCUACCAGAGUCAAGUAGUAUGGUAACAGGUAGAGUGUGAAGCACACCAGCCACUUUCAUGGUUUGUACCGUGGAGGGCUCAGUAGUGCCAUAGAACGCACAAGCACUCAACUCCAUGCUUGAUAGGGAAAGAUCAAUAGGCUCCAGUAAUUCACACUCUGUAGGUUCCAGCAAUUCACACUCGGUAGGCUCCAACUCAUUACAAACAUCAAGCAUAAGGAGCUGUUUAUUAUGGACACAUUUGUGCCCUCGAACCCACUUUUCAUUACAGAACCAACACUCGCCCUUGUCCUUCUUCCGUUGAACUUCCUCGGGGGUAAGUUUCUUAUAAGGGAGGGUUUGAGGAUGAGGCCUGGUAAGGGAAGGUAGAGGUAAGGCGAGAGGAGGUUUGAGUGGGGGAUGAGGUUUUGGGGGAGAUGGUUUCAAGUCCGUGAGUUUAGCAUUUAAUUGGGCAGCAAAGGAAAUGGCCUCAUGAACUGAGGAAGGGCGAAGCAAUUUAACAUCGUAACGCAAUUCCUUCUUGAGACCCCCCAGAAAGCAACUCUUUAAGAGAAUAGGACCAACAUCAUAGGUUCGAGUGGCAAGGCGCCGAAAUUCCACAAUAUAAUCACGAAGAGGGCCGGUUUGGCGGAGUUUGAAUAGCGACUCAGUGCAGUCCUCAAACUCCGGUGGACCAAAUUCCUGGCACAAAGCAGUCGUGAAUUCACCCCAGGUGGGAGUGGAAUGUACACAAUCGCGCCAACGAAACCAGUACAGCGGCUCAUUCUUGAAGUGGAAGGAGGCGGUCAAAACCUUCUGAUUCUCCGGAGUGUGAUAAUAAGCAAAAUAUUGUUCGGCCUUAUAGAUCCACGCUGAGGGAUCAUCACCGUCGGAGAAACGGGGAAAAUCCAGACGAUGUGACCGCUGCGGGCGAGGAGUAAAACCGCCGCCUUCAAAAGAAUCACGGCGCUGAAACCGUGGAGUGUCGAGACAACGAAAAUCGCCAUCAUCGGUCACAAUGGGAGGAGGAAUAUGUGGAUCUGGCACUAGAGGUGGUGGUGCAGUCGAAGAGCCAGCACCGCCUUGAGGACCAGGGUCGCGAUGGAGAUGCUCCAGGAGAAGGGCGAAUUUGGUUUCGAGAGCGGUGAAGCGGGUGUCGGAAUUGGCGUUGGAAGUCUGGAUCAGCUGAGGAAUGGCUCCCAUGGCUUCCAGAGUAGCUUCCACGGCGGAGAGGCGCGAUUCAACAGUGGACAUUCGAGAAUUUGUGGUGUGGCGGGGCAUACAAGAGGGAGACUCAGGAUCGAGAGGCUGAUACCAAUUGUUAGGUCAAAACUUCUAAAUUCCCUUUCUCGACCUGCUAGUAGCUGAUAGUAAUGGCGGUGAGUGAGUGGGAAGGAAAAUAGAGAGAGAUAGAAAGUUUCUUGUAAUAUUGUUUUUCUAAUUCAAUCCUGCAGAACAAUGCCACAAUUUGGUUCUUAUACAACCAUCCUUCUCACAAUGCCAGCUGGCUACUAACAAUAACGACAUGUAGCUAAAUAGUUUUCCACUAUUAUUCUAACCACUAUUAUAAUCAUAACACCCACAUUCGGGAAUUCUGUCAAACAGUUUGCAGACACACAGACGGGCGAAAACAGAACUACCAAAUUAGACCUCACAGCAACCGAAUCACUAUUCGAGAACAUACCCAUCAUUGGAUCGCAGAUCACGGGGUCCCAGGCGUAGUCGUGCACGAGCUGGCGCAAGGAGACGGCGAAAUGCGGGGAGGGAAUUGAGGGUGUGGAAGAGGGAAUUGAAAGUGGGGCCGGGGAGGUGGAAAGAGAGGGAGAGAGAAGUGGGGAGCUUGGAGGAGGAGAGCAGCGGAGAGAGGGAGGAGAAGAAGGGUCUGAAGGCGAAGAGAGAGGCGGAGAGAAGAAGGAAGGAGAGGAUGGUUUUGACGGCGGCGAGGAGGGCGGUGAGAAAUGGAGCUGGGUUUUGGAGGUGGAGGAAUGGGUUGAGGUCUAGGAGGAGGACGAUGCGCACAGUGCCUGCCUAUCAUGUAAAACCAUUGACAAUGAUACAAGACAGUUUAUUUGGACCUAUAAAACUAUAUUUAUGUAAAACUAUAUUUUAUUCAAUUUCAAAAAUUAGUACAUGCAAUGACAUGUUUGAUCGUAAAAAAAAAAAAAAUGAGAAAUUUUCAGUGUAUCAGAAAUACGAAUCGGUAAAAAAUCUCUCCAAAAAUACAUAUGCAUGUUUUAUUCAAAAGGAAAGGAAUGAGGCGCCAUCAUCCCUAACACACUUUAUUACAAGUAGUAUCAUCCAUUGAGGCAGAGAAGUUAAUUAGAUGCUGUCCUUAAUGGAUGCACUAUAACCGUUGUCAUAGAACCUGUUCCAAAGCAUAACUCCUCCGUACUUGGCCGAAUUCUUAAUUGUUGGAAGGACUUGUGACUUGAGAGCAUCAGCAGGAAUAAAUCCGCUGCGCGCGGCAUCAGUAGACGCCGGUAUCCCCAAGAACACCUGGGUGGCCGAAACCGAGGCCCAUCGGUUCCAACUGCUCAAAAGAGCGUCGGCAUUACCGUCUGCAUACUGGCAUUGGGCUAGGGGGUUGUUGUAGAACUGAACCCAAACGUAGUCAAAUAAACCGGUUGGAUAGCGCCGUCUAGGUGAGUAUCCGGGAACGGGCAUUGUGGAGCUGCGGCUAAAUAGACCGUUUUUCCCUGUCCGUUGUGUCCUUUGAGUGACCUGGCGAGCUCGUCGUAGAACUGCGUACCACCCAACUCAAUGUCGAAAUCGACGCCGUCCAAAACCGCGUCCCCAAGCGGGCGCGAAUCUGACUGACCACCUAGGAAGUUGUUCCAGAUGUAAUCAGCAACUUGCCUUGCCUCAUCAGCUGAAGUGAGAGAGUAAGUUUCGGUGGCCCCUCCAAUCGAGAGGAGGACUUUUAUGUUUUUUGAUUGGCAGGUUCUGAUGUCGGCACUCUGCCCCGUGCAAGUACCACUAGCGGGGUUGCAGUGGCCGGCGAGGUUUAGGACAGGGGCUUGGUUGUUUCCAAAAGUUGAGAGGAAAGCUAUGUUAACAAACUGGUAGUUGCCCGAGUUGCAAGCUUCUGCUAGGGUUCCUUCGUUGCCGUUUUGGCCCCAAUACGUCGCGAUUCCGGCGGCUUGGGAGGACUUGCAUGAAGAAAUGAGGAUCAAGAGGGACAGAGUUAGGGCUAGGGUUUGUGUUUUGGAUGCCAUUUUUGUAUGUGUUUUUUUGGGUUGUUGCUCAAAGUGCUUGGGAGGGGACAUGUAAUUAUAGGUGCAGGAGACUUACUGGUUAAGGUUUGGGGGAAGAAAAGUAUGACAGACGUGUUCUGCAGGUAAGAAAUGGGUGCCAGUCUUCCUCUUGCAACCGCGUCAAUCGAGUUAGCUGGGGCCUGUUUAGUCCAAGUCUUCCAUAAAACGCCGAUUAAGUUAGGUUGUGUUGAAAAUGCUUUCUUCAAAAAACACUUACACACGUAAGCGCUUC
rnacentral:lncRNA from 1 species